UGCAUUUGAGAUUAUUCAACCCGUGAUCCUUAUUUUUCUUUUUUUUCCAGGGGGCGGACAUGGGAGCUCCGGCGCCGCGUCAAGCUGCGGCAGGGAGGCCGGAGCCGCGCGCGGAGACGAAUGAGGAGAAAAUUAAGAGGCAUGGAGGAGAGGUGGGCGAGCGGGAAGGGCUGGGGCGUCGCCCACGACAUCGAGCUUGACGGCGGCCUUGCGGCGGCACAGUCGGCGAGGAGCUGUCGGAUCUCGCAGGAUCCGGUGGGAAAUGGAGCGCAGGCGGCAGAUCUGGAGGCGGCCGGAGCUUGGAGCACGACGGCUGGCGGGCGCGGCAUGGCCGACGCUGAUGAGAGAAGAGAGAGAUGAGCGGCAGAGAAAAGAGAGGACGGGAAGAAGAUGGGAGGCUAGAGGGAGAGAGAAGGGCGUAGUGGUCCUGCUGCUGCUCGCCGGUGGCUAGCCGGAGUUGCAGCCCCGCGCAUCACAUGGUCAUGCCAAGGCCCAGGUCAUAUUGCGAUUGCUGACCCGCAGCCUCUUUCUUUCCCUCUUACAGAUGCAUUCAGGAGUGCGACACCACCAUCCUGUGCCACAAACCAUACCAAGAAUGAUGAGUUAUGGCUAGAGUUCAUUUGAUCCAUCUGAUAAAAAUACCUAUUUUAAGGAAUAAGCGUGAAAAGUAAUCAACCGCUCUUUCCGCAGUGGAAUUCGGCUUCAUGGGAAUAUGGUACCCUACGACGCAGGAAGACUACUGAAGAUCAUUUCUAAAUCUAAUCAAGUCAAAGCUUCUCUGUUGUCUGUACUGCAGCCAUGAUGAUCUGAAGUUUAGGACCACAUUGUAGUCAAGAAAAAGGAAUGAUCUUGAUAAUGGCAGGUGUAGCAAUGAAAGGCACAUAUAUUCUACCACAAGCAUCCUAGCUUUCUCAUCUUAUUAGUGACUCACUUUCGAAACAUAUGUAUUGGUAGUUUUUAUCUCUAUGCUUUGCCUUCCACAUACUGGAUUGCAAUGUGUUUGUCUUGAUCCAAUCCUUCGUGUGCCCAUGGGAUGUCCGGCAGGGACUGAUUUGGCUGUUCAAGAGGCCGAACACAUAUAAAUACACAUCCACUCCCUCGACCGAAGCCCCAACCCAAUUGCGUCGUUUCAUCCGUGCUCGACAUUGGUGUCUUGCCGUUCUGCCAAAGUCAUGGAAAUCUCACUGUUCUGCCAACCUGGCCGGAAUUUCUCCGUACUGCCGACUUCAUCGGAAUUACAUCUACCCGUGUAGCCAAGUGAGAUGAUAGUGAAUUUUCCAGUGGCCACCGCUUUCUGAGAUCGCCAUCACUACCUAGCACUCUGAUUUUGCUAUAACUGUUGUCCUCCUAAUAGGUACUAUACUUUCUCUUUCUACUUCUUUUGUUUUGCCAUUUUUGUUACAGUUCAUUAUGAUUCUUUUAUAUUCAUUGUACCUCUUCUUGUUUGCCGUUCUCGAUGCUGCAACAUUGGUAACUGAGAAUCCGGCGACAAUCAAAUAGAAGUCGAAGAAUUCUUGUCCUUCUCUUGUGUUGAACUCCAUUUCCAGGCUGCCGUAACUGAUGGUUAUCCGUGCUUUUCUCAGCUUCAUUAUUACUCUCCUUAUGUUCCACACAUGUGGCACAUUGCCUGAAGUGUAUGAAUUUCCCCAUAACAUGAUGGAUCCUUCAUCUUCAGCUAACUUGCAGCAAUGCAGCAAGUGUAUGCUUUUUAUUUAUUUAUUUUCUUCAGGAAUUUUUUUUGCUGAUGCAAUCUGAAUAUGUGUUUACAUAUCAGUUUCUCUACUUGAUGUUUCUUAAUUACCUUGUCCAAGCUUAGAUUGUCAAGAAGUCAUACUUUCCAGGGAUUUGAAGAAGCUGGAUCAAUACAACUUUAUGUAGAGAAACUUUAUGUAGCUUGCUGCCUUGCUGUACAUUGUCUGAAGCUUUAUGUAGCUUGCUGUCUUGUUGUACAUUGCUGUAACUUACAGUUACAGGGUUGUACAAUCCUGUAUCAUCAAACUGGUUUUCUGUAGCAUAUCUUGUUUGUCC